rnacentral:rRNA from 1 species
GAAUAGGCCCAAGCGACUGUUUAGCAAAAACACAGCUCUCUGCGAAGCCGUAAGGCGAAGUAUAGGGGGUGACACCUGCCCGGUGCUGGAAGGUUAAGGAGAGGGGUUAGCGUAAGCGAAGCUCUGAACUGAAGCCCCAGUAAACGGCGGCCGUAACUAUAACGGUCCUAAGGUAGCGAAAUUCCUUGUCGGGUAAGUUCCGACCCGCACGAAAGGUGUAACGAUUUGGGCACUGUCUCAACCAGAGACUCGGUGAAAUUAUAGUACCUGUGAAGAUGCAGGUUACCCGCGACAGGACGGAAAGACCCCGUGGAGCUUUACUGUAGCCUGAUAUUGAAUUUUGGUACAGUUUGUACAGGAUAGGCGGGAGCCUUUGAAACCGGAGCGCUAGCUUCGGUGGAGGCGCUGGUGGGAUACCGCCCUGACUGUAUUGAAAUUCUAACCUACGGGUCUUAUCGACCCGGGAGACAGUGUCAGGUGGGCAGUUUGACUGGGGCGGUCGCCUCCUAAAGUGUAACGGAGGCGCCCAAAGGUUCCCUCAGAAUGGUUGGAAAUCAUUCGUAGAGUGCAAAGGCAUAAGGGAGCUUGACUGCGAGACCUACAAGUCGAGCAGGGACGAAAGUCGGGCUUAGUGAUCCGGUGGUUCCGCAUGGAAGGGCCAUCGCUCAACGGAUAAAAGCUACCCCGGGGAUAACAGGCUUAUCUCCCCCAAGAGUCCACAUCGACGGGGAGGUUUGGCACCUCGAUGUCGGCUCAUCGCAUCCUGGGGCUGUAGUCGGUCCCAAGGGUUGGGCUGUUCGCCCAUUAAAGCGGUACGCGAGCUGGGUUCAGAACGUCGUGAGACAGUUCGGUCCCUAUCCGUCGUGGGCGUAGGAAAUUUGAGAGGAGCUGUCCUUAGUACGAGAGGACCG